UACAGAGGGUGCGAGCGUUAAUCGGAAUUACUGGGCGUAAAGCGCGCGUAGGUGGCUUUGCAAGUCGAGUGUGAAAUCCCCGGGCUCAACCUGGGAACUGCAUUCGAGACUGCAUUGCUAGAGUAUGGGAGAGGGAAGUGGAAUUUCAGGUGUAGCGGUGAAAUGCGUAGAUAUCUGAAGGAACAUCAGUGGCGAAAGCGACUUCCUGGACCAAUACUGACACUCAAGUGCGAAAGCGUGGGGAGCAAACAGG
rnacentral:rRNA from 1 species